rnacentral:rRNA from 1 species
AACGAACGCUGGCGGCAGGCUUAACACAUGCAAGUCGAACGCCCCGCAAGGGGAGUGGCAGACGGGUGAGUAACGCGUGGGAACAUACCCUUUCCUGCGGAAUAUCUCCGGUAAACUGGAAUUAAUACCGCAUACGCCCUACGGGGGAAAGAUUUAUCGGGGAAGGAUUGGCCCGCGAUGGAUUAGCUAGUUGGUGGGGUAAAGGCCUACCAAGGCGACGAUCCAUAGCUGGUCUGAGAGGAUGAUCAGCCACAUUGGGACUGAGACACGGCCCAAACUCCUACGGGAGGCAGCAGUGGGGAAUAUUGGACAAUGGGCGCAAGCCUGAUCCAGCCAUGCCGCGUGAGUGAUGAAGGCCUUAGGGUUGUAAAGCUCUUUCACCGAUGAAGAUAAUGACGGUAGUCGGAGAAGAAGCCCCGGCUAACUUCGUGCCAGCAGCCGCAGUAA